UUUUUGAACGCACAUUGCACUUUGGGGUAUCCCCCAAAGUAUACUUGUUUGAGCGUUGUUUCUCUCUUGGAAUUGCAUUGCUUUUCUAAAAAAUCGAAUCAAAUUCGUUUGAAAAACAACACUAUUCAACCUCAGAUCAAGUAGGAUUACCCGCUGAACUUAAGCAUAUCAAUAAGCGGAGGAAAAGAAACCAACAGGGAUUGCCUUAGUAACGGCGAGUGAAGCGGCAAAAGCUCAAAUUUGAAAUCGGCCACCAGGUCGAGUUGUAAUUUGUAGAUUGUAUCUUGAGAGCGGAUUAAAGUCUGUUGGAACACAGCGCCUUAGAGGGUGACAGCCCCGUAAAAUCUAUUCUCAUUGUAAGAUACUUUCGAAGAGUCGAGUUGUUUGGGAAUGCAGCUCUAAGUGGGAGGUAAAUUCCUUCUAAAGCUAAAUAUUGACGAGAGACCGAUAGCGAACAAGUACUGUGAAGGAAAGAUGAAAAGCACUUUGAAAAGAGAGUGAAAAAGUACGUGAAAUUGUUAAAAGGGAAGGGUAUUGAAUCAGACUUGGUGCUGUUGUUCAACUGUGUUUCGGCAUAGUGUACUCAGCAGUACUAGGCCAAGGUGGGGUGUUUGGGAGUGAAAAAGAAGUUGGAAGGUAACUCUUCGGAGUGUUAUAGCCUACUUUCAUAGCUCCUCAGGCGCCUCAGGACUGCGCUUCGGCAAGGACCUUGGCAUAAUGAUUCUAUACCGCCCGUCUUGAAACACGGACCAAGGAGUCUAACGUCUAUGCGAGUGUUUGGGUGUAAAACCCGUACGCGUAAUGAAAGUGAACGUAGAUAGGAGCAGCAAUGCGCACUAUCGACCGAUCCUGAAGUUUUCAGAUGGAUUUGAGUAAGAGCAUAGCUGUU
rnacentral:rRNA from 1 species